UCCGCGGUAGCUCAACGGUAGAGCGGAUGCCUGUUAAGCAUUAGGUUCCAGGUUCGAAUCCUGGCCGCGGAGCCA
rnacentral:tRNA from 1 species